GAUGAACGCUAGCGGGAGGCCUAACACAUGCAAGCCGAGCGGUAGAGUUUCUUCGGAAACUUGAGAGCGGCGCACGGGUGCGUAACACGUGUGCAACCUACCUUUAUCUGGGGGAUAGCCUUUCGAAAGGAAGAUUAAUACCCCAUAAUAUAAUGAUUGGCAUCAAUUAUUAUUGAAAACUCCGGUGGAUAGAGAUGGGCACGCGCAAGAUUAGAUAGUUGGUGAGGUAACGGCUCACCAAGUCAAUGAUCUUUAGGGGUCCUGAGAGGGAGAUCCCCCACACUGGUACUGAGACACGGACCAGACUCCUACGGGAGGCAGCAGUGAGGAAUAUUGGACAAUGGGUGAGAGCCUGAUCCAGCCAUCCCGCGUGAAGGAUGACGGUCCUAUGGAUUGUAAACUUCUUUUGUACAGGCAUAAACCUACCCUCGUGAGGGUAGCUGAAGGUACUGUACGAAUAAGCACCGGCUAACUCCGUG
rnacentral:rRNA from 1 species